UUGAAAUUUGUUCGUUCCUUCAAAGCCUC
rnacentral:piRNA from 1 species